rnacentral:lncRNA from 1 species
GUAUAGCCACAUUGAAGCAGAUGUAUUGAACCCGGGAGUGUCUGAUCACUCCGCUAUCUUAAUGCAAUGUAACAGUGUGCAGCAGAGAAGAAACAAUCACCCAAAACCUUUCAAACUUUAUGCUUUUGUUAUGAACCAUGCUGACUUCUGUGACAUUGUGAAAGGUUCUUGGAAUACAGACCAACAGGGAGGGCCAAUGCACAGAAUAUGG